GCAAACUUGGUCAUUUAGAGGAAGUAAAAGUCGUAACAAGGUUUCCGUAGGUGAACCUGCGGAAGGAUCAUUAAUAGGGUCGUACUUGGGUUCGCCCAGUACGAUUUUCACCCUUACCCCUUGUCUACUAUACCAUUGUUGCCUCGGCGAGUCGUUGGCUCGCGCCUCCGUCGGCUUUUCUUCAAAGCUCUCGAGUGCUCGCCGCAGGACAAUUAUUAAAACUCUUAUAACUAGAUGUCUGAAUUAAAAUUUUAAUAUUUUUUAAAACUUUCAACAACGGAUCUCUUGGUUCUGGCAUCGAUGAAGAACGCAGC
rnacentral:misc_RNA from 1 species